rnacentral:rRNA from 1 species
UCGGGAAUUUUGGGCAAUGGGCGAAAGCCUGACCCAGCAACGCCGCGUGAGGGAUGAAGUAUUUCGGUAUGUAAACCUCGAAAGAAUGGGAAGAAUAAAUGACGGUACCAUUUAUAAGCUCCGGCUAACUACGUGCCAGCAGUCGCGGUAAUACGUAGGGAGCAAGCGUUGUUCGGAUUUACUGGGCGUAAAGGGCGCGUAGGCGGCGCGGUAAGUCACUUGUGAAAUCUCUGAGCUUAACUCAGAACGGCCAAGUGAUACUGCUGUGCUAGAGUGCGGAAGAGGCAACCGGAAUUCUUGGUGUAGCGGUGAAAUGCGUAGAUAUCAAGAGGAACACCUGAGGCGAAGGCGGGUUGCUGGGCCGACACUGACGCUGAUGCGCGAAAGCCAGGGGAGCAAACG